CUGGGAGGACCAUCUCCUAAGGCUAAAUACUCUCUAGUGACCGAUAGUGAACCAGUACCGUGAGGGAAAGGUGAAAAGCACCCCGGAAGGGGAGUGAAAUAGAACCUGAAACCGUGUGCUUACAAGUAGUCAGAGCCCGUUAAUGGGUGAUGGCGUGCCUUUUGUAGAAUGAACCGGCGAGUUACGAUUUGAUGCAAGGUUAAGCAGUAAAUGUGGAGCCGUAGCGAAAGCGAGUCUGAAUAGGGCGUUUAGUAUUUGGUCGUAGACCCGAAACCAGGUGAUCUACCCUUGGUCAGGUUGAAGUUCAGGUAACACUGAAUGGAGGACCGAACCGACUUACGUUGAAAAGUGAGCGGAUGAACUGAGGGUAGCGGAGAAAUUCCAAUCGAACCUGGAGAUAGCUGGUUCUCUCCGAAAUAGCUUUAGGGCUAGCCUCAAGUGAUGAUUAUUGGAGGUAGAGCACUGUUUGGACGAGGGGCCCCUCUCGGGUUACCGAAUUCAGACAAACUCCGAAUGCCAAUUAAUUUAACUUGGGAGUCAGAACAUGGGUGAUAAGGUCCGUGUUCGAAAGGGAAACAGCCCAGACCACCAGCUAAGGUCCCAAAAUAUAUGUUAAGUGGAAAAGGAUGUGGCGUUGCCCAGACAACUAGGAUGUUGGCUUAGAAGCAGCCAUCAUUUAAAGAGUGCGUAAUAGCUCACUAGUCGAGUGACACUGCGCCGAAAAUGUACCGGGGCUAAACAUAUUACCGAAGCUGUGGAUUGUCCUUUGGACAAUGGUAGGAGAGCGUUCUAAGGGCGUUGAAGCAUGAUCGUAAGGACAUGUGGAGCGCUUAGAAGUGAGAAUGCCGGUGUGAGUAGCGAAAGACGGGUGAGAAUCCCGUCCACCGAUUGACUAAGGUUUCCAGAGGAAGGCUCGUCCGCUCUGGGUUAGUCGGGUCCUAAGCUGAGGCCGACAGGCGUAGGCGAUGGAUAAC
rnacentral:rRNA from 1 species